UUCGUGUUACUUGCUGCUAUUGAUCUGAUCUCCGGAUCUAAGGUAAGUAUGGUUUAUUGCGAUUCAUUCUGGUAUAUUUCUUAUCUUACAUGUUAUGCUAUUAUAUAUAGUGCCUAAAAUGGAAAUGAAAUGUGAAUAUCCAGACCGGUAAAAUACAGGCAACAUCACCUGGUUGGUAACUUUAUCAAGUAAUUGUAGUAUUCCCAUUUAGAAUAUCCACUGAAGAC
rnacentral:lncRNA from 1 species